rnacentral:tRNA from 1 species
GCUGCUAUGGUCUAACGGUAUGAUGCUCGUUUCCCAUGCGGGCGACGCGGGUUCGACUCCCGCUGGCAGCA